UAAGCUGAGCCUGUGAGGCUAUGAUGCAUAAGCUGAGCCUGUCGACUCUAUGAUGCAUAAGCUGAGCUUGUGUUCUUAAUAUGUCUGAACUGAAACUGUUAAGGCUAUGAUGCAUAAGCUGAGCCUGUUGUUUAAGUUUAGUGGCAAAUUACUCUUGUUGUGUACUCCGGAUUUUGUGUUCUUAAUCUGUCUGAACUGAAAGUGUUUGAGGCUGUGAUGCGAAAGCUGAGCUUGUGUUCUUAAUCUGUCUGAACUAAAAGUGUUGAGUCUAUGAUGCAUAAGCUGAGCUUGUGUUCUUAAUCUGUCUGAAGUAAAAGUGUUUUGAGGCUGUGAUGCAAAAACUGAGCCUGUGUAAUCUAUCUGAACUGAAAGUGUUUGAGGCUGUGAUGCAAAAACUGAGCCUGUGCAAGGUUCGCUCGGUCCAACAACUCAAGCAAAUGUUUUCUUUGCAUUUUAGGGGGAACAUGUGUGCUUCUCUCC
rnacentral:lncRNA from 1 species